rnacentral:rRNA from 1 species
AAGUCGUAACAAGGUUUCCGUAGGUGAACCUGCGGAAGGAUCAUUCAUAAUAAGUGUUUUAUGGCACUUUUUAAAUCCAUAUCCACCUUGUGUGCAAUGUCAGUCGAUCUUCUUCAUGGAGAUCGACCAAACAUCAACCUUUAUUUUUUAACUCUUUGUCUGAAAAAUAUUAUGAAUAAACAAUUCAAAAUACAACUUUCAACAACGGAUCUCUUGGCUCUCGCAUCGAUGAAGAACGCAGCGAAAUGCGAUACGUAAUGUGAAUUGCAGAAUUCAGUGAAUCAUCGAAUCUUUGAACGCAUAUUGCGCUCUUUGGUAUUCCGAAGAGCAUGCUUGUUUGAGUAUCAGUAAACACCUCAAAGCUUUUGGAUUUUUUAAUCGAAAAGCUUUGGACUUGAGCAAUCCCAACACCAAUCUUUUUGAGAUCGGUGGCGGGUUGCUUGAAAUGCAGGUGCAGCUGGACAUUCUCCUGAGCUAAAAGCAUAUUCAUUUAGUCCCGUCAAACGGAUUAUUACUUUUGCUGCAGCUAACAUAAAGGGAGUUUGACCGUAUUGGCUGACUGAUGCAGGAUUUCACAAGGGUCGGCAACGAUUCUUGUUAACUCGAUCUCAAAUCAAGUAAGACUACCCGCUGAACUUAA